rnacentral:lncRNA from 1 species
CAGACUUCACACAUAGAAACAGAGGUGCCUUCAACCCGAUUUUGAACCGCUCCAAAAUUAAACUUUUUCAAUGUCAAAACCCAAAGUUUAAAACACAGAGGCUAGAAGGAUGAUUUCAUGAAGGAAUCUAAAUUUAUUUUCCAAAAAAAUAAAUGGAGCAGAAAUCAAAUUUAUGCAGAUUGCUUCAUAAACAUCAAGGCAGAGGUUAGAAUUGGCUCUGAUACCAAAUGUUAGACUGAAAAUCGAUCCUAAACAAUUAUGCGGAAGCGAAUUGGAUCGAAAAACUGAAAAUUUCAAGAAUUUGAUUCAUACCUCUAGCCAUUGUUAAUAUUCGGAAUUCUCUCCUUCUUUCAGGUAAUGGUGCUUCCAAACUCUUAACACUCCAAUUUUGAUGGUGUAUCUUGUAUUUUCGGUGGUGUUUGAGAUUAGGGACCAAACCCCUUUUUAUAGCCAACUCUCAUCAAGUUUAUGGCUUUAAUUACCUUUCAAUCAAUGACAUAAUGCAUAUUGAAUUGAAGUUUUAUAAAUGUUAAAACUGAAGGAUGAAUGUUGGACCAUCAACGAAGAAGAUGAAGGGACGAUGAGUUACAAAGGGUUCUAGUUACUGCUUCGAAACUAUUUGCAGUUCUGGAUCACUACACCAGUCAUUUGUCUCUGCCGAGAACCUGGCAGGGAACCCUUCGUUGUCCAACAUAUCACCAUUGUUAUCUAGCAAUCUCCGAGAAGUUGAAGUUGAAGUUGAAGUUGCAGUCGCAGCCGUAGUAAUUGGAAGGCUAAGUGCCUGAAGAAAUUGAGGAAUGACAGUGGCA